ensembl:misc_RNA
UUGACACUUCUGUAGACUGAAGUCCCCUGUUUAUCCACAAAACAGGUACAUCAAUCUUCCCACGCAAACAAUUCCCAAGUCUCAAGCCUAGAGGCACUAUCUCUAGACAUGAGGACAUCUCAGUGCUCAUGGGUAGGGCCCUAUCAAAUUUAUGGUCCA